CACGACCGUCGGACUACACCAGAAGUUCCAGGCAUUCCAGAGUUCGAGAGUUAUACUUUCUGCUGAAAAGAGGUGGGUGCUGAAGCAGAUAUUAUAAAAAAUGUUUAUUUUUGCAAGCUUUGGUCCUCCCACCGUCGUGCAUCAUGAUGCGUGACGGUGAAAUGCAUUUACAGCAAAUGUUAAACUCGAGUUCGCAUGUAGCCUGGUUGCUACUACGAGGGCUAGCUUGUGGCUAAUUUAGCCUGCGUGGGCCCAACAUAAUCAAAUAGUCCAUGCUAACGUGUGUUGUCGUGAAAGUAAAUAAGGGCCUGCUCUCUCUGUUGGAGCCAAGAUUAAAAGCUGCUAGUUAGGCUAUCCAUUAGGGGUGGAACGGUUCACAAAAUCCACGGUUCGGUUCGUAUCACGGUUUUGUGGUCACGGUUUUCGGUUCGGUUCAGUAUACAUUGACUGUUACAAAAAUCAAUUGCGUCUUGUAUAGUAAACUGAAAGAAUGAGGCAGUCUGACAUUCAAUACAUCAUUGUGACAGUCUUAGGUUAAAAGGUAGGUCAGAUUCUGGCAGUGCAAGAGAGGAGACAUAGUUCCAACAUGCUUUACAUUUAUUUGGCAAAGGAUAUCUCUAUCUAUCUAAACAAAAAGUAAAAUGGCUCUUAUAGCUCUGACCCUUGAAUUAGUGCAUACAAAAGAAUUUAACUUUACUAUUUUACAAACAACAUUAUAUAUAUAUUAAUGAAAUAAAUAAUCCAAAUUAAGAGGUCAUCAAUAUAAAAUGCAGCAUAAACCAAAUUUAACAGAUCCUGUGCUCUCCUGCACUCUCUCACACAACUCUGCUCAUUGUAUUAUCAUGUUCUUCUGCAAGAAGAUCAGUUUGUCCACAUUCUCUGCCAAGAGACGAGAUCUACUUGCAGUGACAAUGUCCCCUCAUCUCCCACUCUGAGGUAAUGUAAUGGACAGUCACAGUCAGGAAACUUUCAGUUGCCCUGGAGGUCCAUCCAUCGGUAGUAAGAGCAACAUAGGCUGUGUCAGACAGUUCUUUCACAAUUCCCCGUCGGAUCUUUUCAUAAAGUGCGGGAAUUACCGUGCCGCUGAAGUGUUUGCGAGAGGGGCUCUUAUAUCGUGGCUCGAGCGCCUUUAUCAUGCACUGAAGUCCCGCACCCUCAACCACGGCGUAAGGUUGCAUAUCUUUGGCGAUGAAACACCCCAGUGCCUUUGUUAUGCCCUUCGCCCUGUCCGACUUGUCAUUGUACGGCUGUUUAAAAGCUGCGGGGAGAAGUUGUGCAGCCUUGCCCCUCCUUGCGCUGUCAACAGCCACACUGGGAUGACGUCUCCGUAAAUGAACUGACAUGUUAGAUGUGUUCCCGUUAGCAUAAGCAAUGCGUGUUGCUAGUGCUGGACGAUAAUUCGAUAACAAUAUAUAUCGAUCGAUAGACGUGUGGUGCGAUAGAAAAAAAACGGGUCGAUAAAAAGUUCGAUAGAAAAACACAGUUUCCCUUUCUUUUUCAUCAUAGCCUAUCAUGUAGCUUUUUACUACAGUCAUUACUUCCUCCCAACCAAUCACAAACGCAGACCCAGGUACGCUACGGCACCAAGCCCAGCCCCUAUCAAACCACAACAGACAGCACGUGUAUUAGAAAAAAUGAGACAGCAAGGAGAAGCGGAGGACAUUGUCCCGAAAAAAGGUUUCAGUAGUUCACCAGCAUGGCAGUGUUUUGGUUUUUAGAAGUCUGACAAAAAGCGAACAGCGGUCGUUUGCAAAAUUUGCAGAAAAUUAGUAAAAACGAAGUCUGGUAACACAACCAACUUGUUUUACCAUCUAAACCGAUCGCACCCGCUGGAGUACGAGCUGUGUCGGCCGCGCCGCGGCUCCACGUCAUCGUCGGAGGAAUCCUCUGGAACCGCUGCCAGCACCAGCACAAAGCAUGUGAAGCAGACCAAACUGGACUUCGUUUCUUAACAAAAAUACGACAAAGCGUCCGAGCGGCAUAAGGACAUCACCCAUGCAGUAACAUGCUGCAUAGCGAGGGACAUACUGCCAAUAACUACCGUUGAAAAGCCUGGCUUCGACCAGCUUCUAGCCACUCUCGACCCGCGAUAUGAAGUGCCCGGCCGCAAGUAUUUCUCAAACACAGCGCUUCAGGCAUGAAAAUGGGUCAGGGGUUGAAAAGGUGAGAAGGGUGCGGAGGAAAUACGUUCCGGUGUAGCUUCUUAAAGUGGAAGAAAAUGAGCUCAUAUUUUACAAAGACGCGAGUAUUUGGAUCAUGGCUACUAGCAGGGGGUGCAUUCGGCAGGGGUGCAUUCUACGACACAACACCGGCGUGGAUAAGUCCUGCUUCUCGUGCUUAGUUUGUGUCAAUCACAUGAUAAUUAAAAAAAAUAAAUCUCCCGACCCCGGGAGAAAUAUUUCAGUGUUCAGACACCAGGCUGUGGGCAGUUUCCCACACAGGUAAAACUGGUAGUAUGCUAUUCCCACCUAAAGCUAUUCUGUUUAUUUAUAUACUUAUUUUCAUCAAAAGACUAUUUAAAUAUUUAUUUAUCAGAUUUUCUGGUCACUUUAGUCUUUAUGUUUGUCAGUAUUUACUGACGUCACUCAGGCCACUUAAGUUGAUUUCUUUUUUUUUUUAAGUUCUUUUUUAAAAAACUUUCAGUUGUGGUAAAAUAAAAAAGGUGGUUGAAUAAAGGUUUGAAUUUGAAUUCAGUGCUUGUGUGUUCUUUAUUAAAAAUAGGUCAUUAAGCAAUAGCAUAAAACAUCCAGGGCUGCAAUUAAAAUAUAUGUUAAAUAAUUAUAACAAUUAUAUCGAUAAUUAUCGAUAUCGAUCAAUAUGAUUUAUUUUUUAUCGAUAUGCUUUUUUUCUAUAUCGUCCAGGCCUACGUGUUGCACAGUACUUGCACACCGUCGCACUUUUAUCCACAACUUUCUUACCGCCUUCAUAGUUCACCCUGAACGCAAAAUGCUCCCAUACACCAGACCUAUAUAAAGCUGGUGGCGCAUCCUCGAGCCCCGAGUCUUCUCCGCUCGCCAUGUUCACAGCUCCUCUACAACUAAUUUCCGGGACACACCUGUAGUUGCGCAUGUGUAUGACCCGAACGGGAUGCAAGCGAACCGGACCGGGACGGUCAAACCGAACGGUUCAGUUCGGUUUCUUAAACCGUUCCAUCCCUACUAUCCAUUAGAAAAUGAAGUCUAUUUUGGUGCCAGUACUGUUGUUUUUGUUUAUCCAGUGUUAUUUUUUUAUAUAGUUAAAUUUGUGUUUAACUGUAAUUGUCAUAAAUGUUUUUUUCACUAUGUGUGGUAGAAAUGGGACCCAUUAGUUGAAUUUUUCCAAUAUUAUUUGGUUAGUGCAUUAGCAGUGCUAUAGGAAAUGCUAAUAGUAAAAAUCUAAAAGUACUGGUAUUGACAUAUUUUUUUUAUCAAGAGCAAAAGGUAUUCAUUAUGCAGUAUGACCUGCUUCACAAGUUGCCAAUUGUACUAAAAAAACAAACAAAACAAUUUUAUAAUGGUUGAUCUACAAGCUCACACUGUUAUUAACAUUAUUAUUUUUCUUUCUUUUUUCCAUGUGUUUUCUCUCCAGCAAUAUUGAAUAUGGCCUCUAAUUGUUUGAAAGAGCGGCGGAGAAAAAGAGCUAGGGAGGAUGAUUUCUUAUAUGAAUUUAGCAGUGAUGAGGAUGUGUCACAGGAGGACACACAAGAGGAGGGUCUGGCAAGUCAAUCUGGCCAGUUAACAGACAACACUUCAGGAAGUACUUCUUUCAAUACAACCUUGAAGGAAGAGCCUGAUAAUCAAGAGGACUACGGUCAUAGUGAACAUCCAGACGCAAGUGAUAAAGAAACCGAGCUUGUUGACUUGGAAUCCCAAAUCAAAGAUGAACCGUCAAGCCUAAGAGAGGAUGUGGCAGCUUGGGCUGUAGAAACAAAGCAGACUCACAGUAGUGUUAAUAAGAUGUUGGCGAUCCUCCGCAAACAUGGCCACAAUUUGCCCGAAGAUGUCAGCACACUAUUGCAGACUCCGUGUGUUGUGGACAGUAAAAAAGGUAAGAGUGUCAUAACUAAAGUACAAAAUGUUAUGUAAUGUAUUUUAAUUAUUGAAAUGAAUGUUACUAAAUCAUAUCUUUUCACUAAGACUUCCAGCGGAUGGUCGUGGAAACACUUUUGGAAAUCCGCCAUGAAUUGAAAUCGCUCAACCAGCAGGGGGACAUUGAAGAUGAGGGUGAGCGGAUACGUCAGUUGCCGUUAAGGACUUUGGAGGAGGCUCAGCGCAUGUCGUUGGAAAUCGAUUGGCACCCCAACAUAAAACGUUCACUGGUAAGUCAAAUAGAGAUGCUAAAAAUUAUACAAAUCUAUACAUUAGACACUCUUGAUAAUUUGAUUAUAUCAUACAGAUAAAACAACUGUCACGCCUUGGAGGGAAGGACAUUAAGACCUGCACACGCAGGAUCCUGGACAGGUAUGAAUAUGAAUACUUGAAAAUGAAUGCAAGACAAUAUUAUGGUCAAUGUCAUUAAUAUAAUCAUGUAUUGUUGGUGUUUAUCAAGUCUUUCUAGUGAAUUGCAAGAGUACGCAGUAUAAAGGUGCAUUCACACAGGCACUUGCGCAACGGCGGCAAGGGUUUCUCUGACGUUUUAGGGACUUGUUCAGCAAGUAAAGAGCAGCACUAGACACGGUAUCCGACAAGAUCGAGGGAAAACCUAGAGUGGGCAUGACGUAAUGCGCAACGCAAAUGACGGUGGCAAAGUGACACAUUUAAGGACACGCGACGCAAUGGCCCCUCGAGACGUGACAAGUUGAGUCGCCUGUCCGAUGUGAACGCACCUUAAGAGAUUUAUUUGUCUUUGAUAUCCAUUUCAGAAUUUUACACAAUGACGUGCAGAGGAAGUACAACCUCCUGGGUGGAGGACGCCAGGGGAAAAAAAGCUUAAAGGAAACUGCUUUCUUCACAGUUGUUCUUGGUAAAUGAAUUAUAUCUCUGCAAGUUAUUACUUACUCUUGGUCAUGUUACUGUUUUAAAGCCUGAAGCUGUAAAAAAGUGAAGAAUCCUUCCAGACAAUACUAGAUAAUUUCUACACUAACUAUGAUUCACGUUUCUUUUGUUUUUUUUUCUUUUCGCAGAGUCUGUUCGCACUAACUUCCCGACAGCAACAGAGGAACUGGUCGCAGCAUCGAUUGGGGACCAUUUGAAACAGGCACCAGCUCGAUGUGGUGGGAGGGGCACCACCAGAACACCACCCUGCUAAUUUUAAAAAAUAUAUAUAUCAGCGGAUUUAGACCAGAUGUCUAAUAAACGUUUAAUCAACGUCUAUGUCUAUACCUGGGUUUAUAAUUGGUAGAAGCAUGAACGUCUAACAUAAAGACGUUUAAAUGAAAACGUCUAUUUGAUGUCAUUUCAACAUUAUAGACGGAACAAUUUAUGAACAAACAUGUUUAAACGUAUAAAUCAAAACGUUUAAACAACAUUUAAAUUUCGACGCUGAAAAAACGUUCAUUUCUAUACCUCUGUUAUACCAAAUUUAGACUAGACGUAUAUUACACGUAUAAUCAACCUCAAAAUGCUCGCUGGGUCCGUUCAUUCAGAACGCCGUUAAUUCUGCAGUUGACUCUGCAAAGUCAGCAGAAAUUGUUUAUAUCCACAGAAGACGGCGGAUAUAAACGAUUUGUUGCCCUGUUGUCCGGGUAACAGUGGAAACACGGUCUCUGAUUGGCCCGGUUAUUUUCUGAUCGGGAAUACACGCUCUCUAUGGUCCGAAGUCC
rnacentral:lncRNA from 1 species